rnacentral:rRNA from 1 species
UACGUAGGGCGCAAGCGUUGUCCGGAAUUAUUGGGCGUAAAGAGCUCGUAGGCGGUUUGUCACGUCGGAUGUGAAAGCCCGGGGCUUAACCCCGGGUCUGCAUUCGAUACGGGCAGACUGGAGUGUGGUAGGGGAGAUUGGAAUUCCUGGUGUAGCGGUGGAAUGCGUAGAGAUCCGGAAGAACACCGGUGGCGAAGGCGGCAUCCUGGACCGGCAUUGACGCUGAGGAGCGAAAGCGUGGGGAGCGAACAGG